GACGAACGCUGGCGGCGUGCUUAACACAUGCAAGUCGAACGGAAAGGCCCUGCUUUUGUGGGGUGCUCGAGUGGCGAACGGGUGAGUAACACGUGAGUAACCUGCCCUUGACUUUGGGAUAACUUCAGGAAACUGGGGCUAAUACCGGAUAGGAGCUCCUGCUGCAUGGUGGGGGUUGGAAAGUUUCGGCGGUUGGGGAUGGACUCGCGGCUUAUCAGCUUGUUGGUGGGGUAGUGGCUUACCAAGGCUUUGACGGGUAGCUGGCCUGAGAGGGUGACCGGCCACAUUGGGACUGAGAUACGGCCCAGACUCCUACGGGAGGCAGCAGUGGGGAAUAUUGCACAAUGGGCGGAAGCCUGAUGCAGCAACGCCGCGUGCGGGAGGACGGCCUUCGGGUGGUAAACCGCUUUCGCCUGUGACGAAGCGUGAGUGACGGUAAUGGGUAAAGAAGCACCGGCUAACUACGU
rnacentral:rRNA from 1 species